CGAAUUACACCUGCAACAUGAUGCACAACAACAUAAGAGCUAAUUGCAUAUAACCCCCUGUGUAAUUUCGAAUGGCCAAAAAGACCCGUGUGUUAAAAAAAUUAGCAAAAACCUCCAUAUAUUUUGUUUUACAAAGUACACUGCCCCUUACAUUUAAAUUGGGUGUUAACUUAUAUGAAAUGACGAAACCACCCCUAAUUAGAACAAACCAAAUACCCCACACUAGAAAACAAAAAAUCGGGAAAAAAAAAGGAAAGUUCGAAAUUUUUGCACUUUGAGAGCGGCAAUGGAGUUGAAGAUGACAGACCACCUCAAGAACAAAGAACAAAGGAAGAUAACUCUUGUUAGUUUUGACACAAAUUUUCGGGUUGUUAAAUUUCAUUUGGCCUCUUUGUAUUGUGGGAAAAAUAGGAAAAGAGAAAAAAAGGAAAAAAAAAAAAAAAAGAACUGGUGGAUCUGGCGGAGGGGAAGAUAACGAGGGAAGAUGCCAUUGUUUAGAGUUAGGAGGCUGAAGAAGUUUAUUGUGUCUGUUCAAGCUCCCCUCCACGUGCUCUAAUGGUGGGUCUUACACACACACACACACACAAAUAUACGGUCUGUAAAUGCAUUUUUUUUUGCUUGAAUUGAAUUUCAGCUUCCCUUUUGUUUGUUGAUUCGUAAUGGAUUAUUUGAUGGUGGGGGAAACUAUUGAUGGAUGUAGGUGUGUGGUGGAGAAGAAAAUUCUGAUUUUGGGGUGUGGUUUUGGGUUGAUUGGGGAAGAUGGCUUUUUAGAAAUAUUAGGGAUUGAAUUGAAAAUUUUGAGAACUUCAUUUUGGGCCUGAUUAAAAUUAUGGGGUGAAUUUAUAAUUUUUUAAAUUUCUAAUUUAAAGGGUAUUUGAGUCUUUUCACGUCAAAAAAUAGACACCCAUUCGCACAUUUCGCGCGUGCUACACACGUUCGGCUAGUAGGGGCCUUAUUGCUUUUGACUAAUUUUCAUAGGGGGGUAUUUGCUAAUUUUGUUGACACAAGGUGUUUUUCAGCAAUUCAAGAUUACACAAGGGUGGUUUUUGCAAAAAACCCACAACAUAAUGAUAAACAACAACAUUUGUGAGAAAACACUUAUUUUCACUGAAACAAAUUCCCUUCUCUAACUACAAUUAACCUCAAUGGCAUGCUAAUAUUUGCAAGAAAUGAAGAUCAACUACAAUCUAUUAGCAAAUUCAAUCGUCAGAUAAACCUUCAACCAAACAAAGCCUCCGCCCCAAUUUCAGAAGUACAUAAAUCUCUCCUUGAGCGAAAAACUCUCAACCCUUUUCGACGAAAUCGCUCGGGCCACUCGUAAUUCAGAUGUCUUCCUCACUAAUUCUCUCUGUUUAGUGCUGUCCUUACUGUUUUUAACUGCUGAUCAAGAGAGUUUCCCACACACAGAACCCAUAAUUUUCCCCCAAUUUAAAGUUCAAACCGCAGCAAAUAAUUGUAAAUUACACCUCCCCUUUUUUUUUCACUUUCACAGUACCAUCUCUGGGUAAUUAAU
rnacentral:lncRNA from 1 species